UUCCUCUUAGAUAAAGAGGAAAGGCCUGCUCACUGAGUAUUUAAAGAGCCGCAGUAUCCUAACUGUGCUAAGGUAGCAUAAUCAUUAGUCUUUUAAUUGGAGACUGGUAUGAAUGGCUAAACGAGAAAUUGACUUUUUUUGUUAUAAAAAUUGAAUUUAAUUUUUUAGUGAAAAAGCUAAAAUUAUUCAGAAAGACGAGAAGACCCUAUAGAGUUUUAUAUUUUAUAAAUUUUUUUCUUAUUAGAUUUUUUUAGAAUAAAUUUUAGAAUAUAUUUUGUUGGGGCGACACUAAGAUAAGAAAAACUCUUUAUUUUAUAAAUUUUAAUGAAAAGAUUCUUGAUCCUCUAGAAGAGAUCAAAAGAAAAAAUUACCUUAGGGAUAACAGCGUAAUCUUUUUUAAGAGUUCUAAUCGACAAAAAGGUUUGCGACCUCGAUGUUGGACUAAAAUUUAGGCAGGGUGCAGCAGUUCUGCUUUUAGGUCUGUUCGACCUAUAAUAUUUUACACGAUCUGAGUUCAGACCGGCGUAAG
rnacentral:rRNA from 1 species